GGAUGCGAUCAUAUCAGCACUAAAGCACCGGAUCCCAUCAGAACUCCGAAGUUAAGCGUGCUUGGGCGAGAGUGGUACUAGGAUGGGUGACCUCCUGGGAAGUCCUCGUGUUGCAUUCC
rnacentral:rRNA from 1 species